rnacentral:rRNA from 3 species
UGAAGCGGCAACAGCUCAAAUUUGAAAUCUGGCCCUUGGGUCCGAGUUGUAAUUUGUAGAGGAUGCUUUUGGCGAGGUGCCUUCCGAGUUCCCUGGAACGGGACGCCAUAGAGGGUGAGAGCCCCGUCUGGUCGGACACCGAGCCUCUGUAAAGCUCCUUCGACGAGUCGAGUAGUUUGGGAAUGCUGCUCAAAAUGGGAGGUAUAUGUCUUCUAAAGCUAAAUAUUGGCCAGAGACCGAUAGCGCACAAGUAGAGUGAUCGAAAGAUGAAAAGCACUUUGAAAAGAGGGUUAAAAAGUACGUGAAAUUGUUGAAAGGGAAGCGCCUAUGACCAGACUUGGGCCCGGUGAAUCAUCCAGCGUUCUCGCUGGUGCACUUUGCCGGGCACAGGCCAGCAUCAGUUUGGCGCGGGGGAAAAAGGUUUUGGGAAUGUGGCUCCCUCGGGAGUGUUAUAGCCCAUUGCGUAAUACCCUGCGCCGGACUGAGGUACGCGCAUUGCAAGGAUGCUGGCGUAAUGGUCAUCAGCGACCCGUCUUGAAACACGGACCAAGGAGUCGUCUUCGUAUGCGAGUGUUCGGGUGUCAAACCCCUACGCGUAAUGAAAGUGAACGCAGGUGAGAGCUUCGGCGCAUCAUCGACCGAUCCUGAUGUUCUCGGAUGGAUUUGAGUAAGAGCAUACGGGGCCGGACCCGAAAGAAGGUGAACUAUGCCUGUAUAGGGUGAAGCCAGAGGAAACUCUGGUGGAGGCUCGCAGCGGUUCUGACGUGCGAAUCGAUCGUCAAAUAUGGGCAUGGGGGCGAAAGACUAAUCGAACCUUCUAGUAGCUGGUUUCCGCCGAAGUUUCCCUCAGGAUAGCAGUGUUGAACUCAGUUUUAUGAGGUAAAGCGAAUGAUUAGGGACUCGGGGGCGCUAUAUUGCCUUCAUCCAUUCUCAAACUUUAAAUAUGUAAGAAGCCCUUGUUACUUAAUUGAACGUGGGCAUUCGAAUGUAUCAACACUAGUGGGCCAUUUUUGGUAAGCAGAACUGGCGAUGCGGGAUGAACCGAACGCGAGGUUAAGGUGCCGGAGUGGACGCUCAUCAGACACCACAAAAGGUGUUAGUACAUCUUGACAGCAGGACGGUGGCCAUGGAAGUCGGAAUCCGCUAAGGACUGUGUAACAACUCACCUGCCGAAUGUACUAGCCCUGAAAAUGGAUGGCGCUCAAGCGUCCCACCCAUACCUCGCCCUCAGGGUAGAAACGAAGCCCUGAGGAGUAGGCGGACGUGGAGGUCAGUGACGAAGCC